rnacentral:sRNA from 1 species
CGCCGCCGGGGGUUAAGGUGAGCGACUGCAGGCAAACCCGGCGACAGCGCAGCUCGCGUCGACCCUGGCUCCUCUGCCUGCCCCCUCGGGCCCCCGCCUCCUUCAGGAUGACGCUGGACGUGGGGCCGGAGGAUGAGCUGCCCGACUGGGCCGCCGCCAAAGAGUUUUACCAGAAGUACGACCCUAAGGACGUCAUCGGCAGAGGAGUGAGCUCUGUGGUCCGCCGUUGUGUUCAUCGAGCUACUGGCCACGAGUUUGCGGUGAAGAUUAUGGAAGUGACAGCUGAGCGGCUGAGUCCUGAGCAGCUGGAGGAGGUGCGGGAAGCCACACGGCGAGAGACACACAUCCUUCGCCAGGUCGCCGGCCACCCCCACAUCAGUGAGGCUGUCUUCCUUGCUCCUGUUAGCAGACGACCCCCCACCUCCUGCUGGCCCUGCCCAUAGCCCACUUCCGCCAACAUUGCCUCCACACCUCUCCUCCCUUCAUUCCACUAAAGAGUGGCCAUCCGUUGGGCGCCCACUGCCUCCUCUGGUUCUCCUUUCUUCCCAGUAACAGCCCGCUGCUGUCCCAGGGUGGCCAAGCCCCGUUAAUGUGCAUCCGCUCCUUUCCAUCUCUGUCUCUCUGCCUCUCUUCCUCUCUCCCUAGUCACCCUCAUCGAUUCGUAUGAGUCUUCUAGCUUCAUGUUCCUGGUGUUUGACCUGAUGCGGAAGGGAGAGCUGUUUGACUAUCUCACAGAGAAGGUGGCCCUCUCUGAAAAGGAAACCAGGUCCAUCAUGCGGUCUCUGCUGGAAGCAGUGAGCUUUCUCCAUGCCAACAACAUUGUGCAUCGAGAUCUGAAGCCCGAGAAUAUUCUCCUAGAUGACAAUAUGCAGAUCCGACUUUCAGAUUUCGGGUUCUCCUGCCACUUGGAACCUGGCGAGAAGCUUCGAGAUCUCCAGGCUGCUGCAGGUGGAUCCUGAGGCACGCCUGACAGCUGAGCAGGCCCUACAGCACCCCUUCUUUGAGCGUUGUGAAGGCAGCCAACCCUGGAACCUCACCCCCCGCCAGCGGUUCCGGGUGGCAGUGUGGACGGUGCUGGCUGCUGGACGAGUGGCCCUAAGCACCCAUCGUGUACGGCCACUGACCAAGAAUGCACUGUUGAGGGACCCUUAUGCGCUGCGGUCAGUGCGGCGCCUCAUCGACAACUGUGCCUUCCGGCUCUACGGGCACUGGGUAAAGAAAGGGGAGCAGCAGAACCGGGCGGCUCUCUUUCAGCAUCGGCCCCCUGGGCCUUUUCCCAUCAUGGGCCCUGAAGAGGAGGGAGACUCUGCUGCUAUAACUGAGGAUGAGGCCGUGCUUGUGCUGGGCUAGGACCUCAACCCCAGGGAUUCCCAGGAAGCAGAACUCUCCAGAAGAAGGGUUUUGAUCAUUCCAGCUCCUCUGGGCUCUGGCCUCUGGCCUCAGGCCCACCACUGAUCCUGCUACCCUCUUGAAGACCAGCCCGGUACCUCUCUCCCCACUGGCCAGGACUCUGAGAUCAGAGCUGGGGUGGAAGGGAGCCAUUCUGAACGCCACGCCUGGCCCGGUCAGUGCUGCAUGCACUGCAUAUGAAAUAAAAUCUGCUACACGCCAGGGAGAA